AAUGAACGCUGGCGGCGUGCCUAAUACAUGCAAGUCGAGCGAAUGGAUUAAGAGCUUGCUCUUAUGAAGUUAGCGGCGGACGGGUGAGUAACACGUGGGUAACCUGCCCAUAAGACUGGGAUAACUCCGGGAAACCGGGGCUAAUACCGGAUAACAUUUUGAACCGCAUGGUUCGAAAUUGAAAGGCGGCUUCGGCUGUCACUUAUGGAUGGACCCGCGUCGCAUUAGCUAGUUGGUGAGGUAACGGCUCACCAAGGCAACGAUGCGUAGCCGACCGGAGAGGGUGAUCGGCCACACGGGGACUGAGACACGGACCAGAGUCCUACGGGAGGCAGCAGUAGGGAAUCUUCCGCAAUGGACGAAAGUCUGACGGAGCAACGCCGCGUGAGUGAUGAAGGCUUUCGGGUCGUAAAACUCUGUUGUUAGGGAAGAACAAGUGCUAGUUGAAUAAGCUGGCACCUUGACGGUACCUAACCAGAAAGCCACGGCUAACUACGUGCCAGCCGCCGCAGUAA
rnacentral:rRNA from 1 species